GAUGAACGCUGGCGGCGUGCCUAAUACAUGCAAGUCGAGCGAACGGACGAGAAGCUUGCUUUUCUGAUGUUAGCGGCGGACGGGUGAGUAACACGUGGAUAACCUACCUAUAAGACUGGGAUAACUUCGGGAAACCGGAGCUAAUACCGGAUAAUAUUUUGAACCGCAUGGUUCAAAAGUGAAAGACGGUCUUGCUGUCACUUAUAGAUGGAUCCGCGCUGCAUUAGCUAGUUGGUAAGGUAACGGCUUACCAAGGCAACGAUGCAUAGCCGACCUGAGAGGGUGAUGGGCCACACUGGAACUGAGACACGGUCCAGACUCCUACGGGAGGCAGCAGUAGGGAAUCUUCCGCAAUGGGCGAAAGCCUGACGGAGCAACGCCGCGUGAGUGAUGAAGGUCUUCGGAUCGUAAAACUCUGUUAUUAGGGAAGAACAUAUGUGUAAGUAACUGUGCACAUCUUGACGGUACCUAAUCAGAAAGCCACGGCUAACUACGUG
rnacentral:rRNA from 1 species